GACGAACGCUGGCGGCGUGCCUAAUACAUGCAAGUUGAGCGCUGAAGGUUGGUACUUGUACCAACUGGAUGAGCAGCGAACGGGUGAGUAACGCGUGGGGAAUCUGCCUUUGAGCGGGGGACAACAUUUGGAAACGAAUGCUAAUACCGCAUAAAAACUUUAAACACAAGUUUUAAGUUUGAAAGAUGCAAUUGCAUCACUCGAAGAUGAUCCCGCGUUGUAUUAGCUAGUUGGUGAGGUAAAGGCUCACCAAGGCGAUGAUACAUAGCCGACCUGAGAGGGUGAUCGGCCACAUUGGGACUGAGACACGGCCCAAACUCCUACGGGAGGCAGCAGUAGGGAAUCUUCGGCAAUGGACGAAAGUCUGACCGAGCAACGCCGCGUGAGUGAAGAAGGUUUUCGGAUCGUAAAACUCUGUUGGUAGAGAAGAACGUUGGUGAGAGUGGAAAGCUCAUCAAGUGACGGUAACUACCCAGAAAGGGACGGCUAACUACGUG
rnacentral:rRNA from 1 species